rnacentral:rRNA from 1 species
AUUGAACGCUGGCGGCACGCCUAACACAUGUAAGUCGAGCGGUAACAUGAUCUGUAGCAAUACAGAUUGAUGACGAGCGGCGGACGGGUGAGGAACACGUAGGAAUCUACCUUAGAGAGGGGGACAACCAAGGGAAACUUUGGCUAAUACCGCAUAAUCUCGAGAGAGAAAAGCUGCCCGCAAGGGUGGCGCUUUAAGAGGAGCCUGCGUCCGAUUAGCUAGUUGGUGAGGUAAAGGCUCACCAAGGCGAUGAUCGGUAACUGGUCUGAGAGGACGACCAGUCACACUGGGACUGAGACACGGCCCAGACUCCUACGGGAGGCAGCAGUGGGGAAUUUUGGACAAUGGGCGAAAGCCUGAUCCAGCAAUGCCGCGUGUGUGAAGAAGACCUUCGGGUUGUAAAGCACUUUUGUCCGGAAAGAAAUGGCUCUGGUUAAUACCUGGGGUCGAUGACGGUACCGGAAGAAUAAGGACCGGCUAACUACGUGCCAGCAGCCGCCGUAACAC